UGAGGAAUAUUGGGCAAUGCCCGCAAGGGUGACCCAGCAACGCCGCGUGGAGGAUGAAUGUCGUAAGAUUGUAAACUCCUGUUAGAGGGGAAGAAUAGUACCGGUUGGACCGGUAUAUGACUGUACCCUCAGAGAAAGCCCCGGCUAACUACGUGCCAGCAGCCGCGGUAAUACGUAGGGGGCAAGCGUUGUCCGGAGUUACUGGGCGUAAAGAGUGCGUAGGCGGCGAGCCAAGUUUGGUGUGAAAUCUCCCGGCUUAACCGGGAGGGUGCGCCGAAAACUGGUUGGCUGGAGUAUGGGAGAGGAAAGCGGAAGUCCUGGUGUAGCGGUGAAAUGCGUAGAUAUCAGGAGGAACACCUGCGGUGCAGACAGCUUUCUGGACCAAAACUGACGCUGAGGCACGAAAGCGUGGGUAGCAAACA
rnacentral:rRNA from 1 species